rnacentral:rRNA from 1 species
AGUGAACGCUGGCGGCAUGCCUUACACAUGCAAGUCGAACGGUAACAGGUCUUCGGAUGCUGACGAGUGGCGAACGGGUGAGUAAUACAUCGGAACGUGCCCGAUCGUGGGGGAUAACGAAGCGAAAGCUUUGCUAAUACCGCAUAAGAUCUACGGAUGAAAGCAGGGGACCGCAAGGCCUUGCGCGAACGGAGCGGCCGAUGGCAGAUUAGGUAGUUGGUGGGAUAAAAGCUUACCAAGCCGACGAUCUGUAGCUGGUCUGAGAGGACGACCAGCCACACUGGGACUGAGACACGGCCCAGACUCCUACGGGAGGCAGCAGUGGGGAAUGUUGGACAAUGGGCGAAAGCCUGAUCCAGCCAUGCCGCGUGCAGGAUGAAGGCCUUCGGGUUGUAAACUGCUUUUGUACGGAACGAAAAGACUCUUUCUAAUAAAGAGGGUCCAUGACGGUACCGUAAGAAUAAGCACCGGCUAACUACGUGCCAGCCGCCGCGGUAA